GGGCUCCAAGAUCCAGAGACUGCGUUGCAGCCAUGCGGAAUAAAUGUUUCUUUGGUUACGUAAUGCUAGUGUCCCAAAAUUGCGAUGAUGUAUUCACCCAGAAUGCCAAGCUCUAUAACUAGAUGUGGGACGCACGCCAAGGCUCCGAUGUAUUCCGUAUGACUUGUUACAAUGACCACGUCAUUAAAGAGUUAUGUGCUAUCCAUUCAUACAAAACGUGGGCUUAAGCCGCGCCCUUUGUGUUGGGCAUGACGAAUACGAAGCGGUCAUUAAAAUUUGUAACCGAAGACAUGAAUGUCCCCAUUACAAAUUACCAUCACCUGAGUAAUCACAAU
rnacentral:lncRNA from 1 species